CUUAUAUCUGUGGCUAUAGGGAACAUCCUCAGUGGCUAGCUGGAGGGGGAAAAAACCCAAGUAUGGCUCACAGAUAGAUUAGGCUUGCAGUGUGGAUGCAAGCCACAAGUCGAUAGCAACAGUAUUACAACCUCUCUCAGUGGGGACUCAGAAGGCCAUGUCAUAUUGUUCCAGGCUCCACAUCCAAAGACAAAUGUCCUUCUAAGAGACACAGAGGAGACACAUGCUGGGAGAAAAGGCGAGGGCCAUGUGAAGACAGAGGCAGAUGGCAUGAUGCAGCCUCUAGAAUAUGGAAGUGAUAGGACUAGAUUCUCCCCUCAGACCUUGAUUGUGGA